AAAUUGAAGAGUUUGAUCAUGGCUCAGAUUGAACGCUGGCGGCAGGCCUAACACAUGCAAGUCGAACGGUAACAGGAAGCAGCUUGCUGCUUCGCUGACGAGUGGCGGACGGGUGAGUAAUGUCUGGGAAACUGCCUGAUGGAGGGGGAUAACUACUGGAAACGGUAGCUAAUACCGCAUAAUGUCGCAGGA
rnacentral:rRNA from 1 species